AUACGGAGGGUGCAAGCGUUAAUCGGAAUUACUGGGCGUAAAGCGCGCGUAGGCGGUUAGAUAAGUCGGAUGUGAAAUCCCUGGGCUCAACCUGGGAACUGCAUUCGAUACUGUCUAACUAGAGUACGGUAGAGGGAAGUGGAAUUCCGGGUGUAGCGGUGAAAUGCGUAGAUAUCCGGAGGAACAUCAGUGGCGAAGGCGACUUCCUGGACCAAUACUGACGCUGAGGUGCGAAAGCGUGGGGAGCAAACAGGAUUAGAUACCCCAGUAGUCC
rnacentral:rRNA from 1 species